rnacentral:rRNA from 1 species
UACAGAGGUCCCAAGCGUUGUUCGGAUUCACUGGGUGUAAAGGGUGCGUAGGUGGUGAGGUAAGUCGGAUGUGAAAGCUCCGAGCUCAACUCGGAAAUGGCAUUGGAAACUACCUUGCUAGAGGGUUUGAGGGGGGACUGGAAUACUUGGUGUAGCAGUGAAAUGCGUAGAUAUCAAGUGGAACACCAGUGGCGAAGGCGAGUCCCUGGAAAACUCCUGACACUGAGGCACGAAAGCUAGGGGAGCAAACAGG